rnacentral:rRNA from 1 species
UCCUCCCUCUUCCCCCGCGCUUAACACAUGCAAGUCGAACGGAAAGGCCCGGCGUUUGUGGGGGGCUCGAGUGGCGAACGCGUGAGUAACACGUGAGUAACCUGACCUUGACUUGGGGGUAACUUCAGGAAACUGGGGCUAAUACCGGAUAGGAGCUCCUGCUGCGUUGUGGGGGAUGGAAGGUUGCGGCGGUUGGGGUUGGACUCGCGGCUUAUCAUCGUGUUGGUGGGGUAGUGGCUUACCAAGGCUUGCACGGAUAGCCGGCCUGAGCGGGUGACCGGCCACAUUGGGCCUGAGUCACGGCCCAGCUCCCAACGGGAGGCAGCAUGGGGGAAUAUUGCGCAAUGGGCGAAAGCUUGAUGCAGCAAGGCCGCGUGCGGGAUGGCGGCCUCGGGUUGUAAACCGCUUUCGCCUGUGACGAAGCGUGCGUGACGGUAAUGGGUAAAGAAGCACCGGCUAACUACGUA